rnacentral:tRNA from 2 species
AGCGGGGUUGAGCAGCCAGGAGUGCUCGUCGGGCUCAUAACCCGAAGGUCCGAGGUUCAAAUCCUCGCCCCGCUA